AUUUGAAUCAGAAAGAGCAGAGAACCAAAAAAGCCAGAGCUGUUGUUCCUGCUUAAACUGCUAAGGUCUUUACCAGCUUGGUCUAGGGUUUUGAAGAUUCCACGUGUGCAGCUGAUUCUUCUCUAUGCUGGACAUCUAACCCAGGGCUCAUUAACGGAUAUCCAAGUUAGCACAUCGCCCCAUAGAUCUUAAAAGUGCUACACCAACAUGAGGGGGAACUUUGUGAAUGGAACAGAGCACUGGGUUGAAGAUGGA